GUAAAUAUAGUUUAACGAAAAACAUUAGAUUGUGAAUCUAAUAAUAGAAGUGCAAAUCUUCUUAUUUACC
rnacentral:tRNA from 1 species